AUUGAACGCUGGCGGCAGGCUUAACACAUGCAAGUCGAGCGGGGUGAUGGUGCUUGCACUAUCACUUAGCGGCGGACGGGUGAGUAAUGCUUAGGAAUCUGCCUACUAGGGGGGGAUAACAUCUCGAAAGGGAUGCUAAUACCGCAUACGUCCUACGGGAGAAAGCAGGGGAUCACUUGUGACCUUGCGCUAAUAGAUGAGCCUAAGUCGGAUUAGCUAGUUGGUGGGGUAAAGGCCUACCAAGGCGACGAUCUGUAGCGGGUCUGAGAGGAUGAUCCGCCACACUGGGACUGAGACACGGCCCAGACUCCUACGGGAGGCAGCAGUGUGGAAUAUUGGACAAUGGGGGGAACCCUGAUCCAGCCAUGCCGCGUGUGUGAAGAAGGCCUUAUGGUUGUAAAGCACUUUAAGCGAGGAGGAGGCUCUUUUGGUUAAUACCCAAGAUGAGUGGACGUUACUCGCAGAAUAAGCACCGGCUAACUCUGUGCCAGCCGCCGCGGUAA
rnacentral:rRNA from 1 species